rnacentral:rRNA from 1 species
GCAAGGAAUCUUGCGCAAUGGGCGAAAGCCUGACGCAGCGACACCGCGUGGGGGAAGAAUGCCCUAGGGUUGUAAACCCCUUUUCUCGGGGAAGAGCAAGGACGGUACCCGAGGAAUAAGGUUCGGCUAACUACGUGCCAGCAGCCGCGGUAAUACGUAGGAACCGAGCGUUGUCCGGAAUUACUGGGCGUAAAGGGCGCGUAGGCGGCCUAUUAAGUCCCAUGUGAAAUCUCCCGGCCUAACUGGGAGGGGUCAUGAGAAACUGGUAGGCUUGAGGGCAGCAGAGGAGAGUGGAAUUCCCGGAGUAGUGGUGAUAUGCGUAGAUACCGGGAGGAACACCCGAGGCGAAGGCGACUCUCUGGGCUGCAUCUGACGCUGAGGCGCGAAAGCAUGGGGAGCAAACCGG